AGAGUUUGAUCCUGGCUCAGAACGAACGYUGGCGGCGUGCUUAACACAUGCAAGUCGGACGUGAUCCGGAGCUUGCUCCGGUGAAAGUGGCGCACGGGUGAGUAACGCGUGGAUAAUCUGCCCUGGUAUCUGGGAUAACAUCUCGAAAGGGGUGCUAAUACCGGAUAAGCCUACGGGAUCCUCGGAUUCUGCAGGAAAAGGUGGCCUCUAUUUAUAAGCUACCGUAUCAGGAUGAGUCCGCGUACCAUUAGCUAGUUGGUGGGGUAAUGGCCCACCAAGGCUACGAUGGUUAGCUGGUCUGAGAGGAUGAUCAGCCACACUGGAACUGAGACACGGUCCAGACUCCUACGGGAGGCAGCAGUGGGGAAUUUUGCGCAAUGGGGGAAACCCUGACGCAGCAACGCCGCGUGAGUGAUGAAGGCUUUCGGGUCGUAAAGCUCUGUCAGAGGGGAAGAAAUGAGACUGGCUAAUAUCCAGUUUUCUUGACGGUACCCUCAAAGGAAGCACCGGCUAACUCCGUGCCAGCAGCCGCGGUAAUAC
rnacentral:rRNA from 2 species